rnacentral:rRNA from 1 species
UACGGGGGGGGCAAGCGUUGUUCGGAAUUACUGGGCGUAAAGGGCGCGUAGGCGGUCUGUUAAGUUGGAUGUGAAAACUCUGGGCUCAACCCAGAGCCUGCAUCCAAAACUGGCAGGCUAGAGUUCUGGAGGGGGUAGCGGAAUUCCUGGUGUAGCGGUGAAAUGCGUAGAUAUCAGGAGGAACACCGGUGGCGAAGGCGGCUACCUGGACAGAAACUGACGCUGAGGCGCGAAAGUUAGGGGAGCAAACAGG